UCAGAUCAAAAUCAACCCACUUGAGAAAGCCAUUACAGCAACAAAACCAAAGGUGAGCUUAUCUUCGUAAACCUGCUUUUAUGAUUACUUUUUUUUAUUAACCCUAGAACUAUAUAGUGAUCACGAAAGCUUGAAACAAGUAUAAUUUUAAGAAGUCAAAGAGAAAUCAAAUUAUAAUGAAUGAUUUUAAGAAAUCAAUGAGAAAUCAAAGAGGAAAGGGUGCUCCCUGUUUUACAGAAAAUCAUGUCUUGACCAGAGUUUGAGUGAGCUGCGGCUAGGUUUCUGGUGUUGAUGGUGCUGAUCGGAGGUGGCUUUCUUGGCUUCUGGUUAUCGGAGAAGGAUGGUAGACGAUGGGGAACGGCGAGUCUUGGCUGAGUUAGAGCGAGUUGGGGCUGGGUUAAUUGGGUUGUUGUCUGCAAUUGACUGCUGAUUUACGGGUCGAGGCGAGGAUUGUGGG
rnacentral:lncRNA from 1 species